GACGGGGGAUGCAAGUGUUAUCCGGAAUCACUGGGCGUAAAGCGUCUGUAGGUGGUCAAAUAAGUCAACUGUUAAAUCUUGAGGCUCAACCUCAAAAUCGCAGUCGAAACUAUUAGACUAGAGUAUAGUAGGGGUAAAGGGAAUUUCCAGUGGAGCGGUGAAAUGCGUAGAUAUUGGAAAGAACACCGAUGGCGAAGGCACUUUACUGGGCUAUUACUAACACUCAGAGACGAAAGCUAGGGUAGCAAACGGG
rnacentral:rRNA from 1 species